CGCAGGCAUAAUAGGGAAUCCCGUGUAAGACGGGAGCGGACCCGCCACUGUGAACCUGAUUCCGGAUUUGAAAAAUCUUGGAAUAAGUACCUUAUCAUGAUGACCACUGUACGAAAAACUGUUUGAACGGUUUUCAGGAUGGGAAGGUCGGUAAGGUCAGGUAAGCCAGUAGACCUGCCUAAAUAUACCUCACUAA
rnacentral:ncRNA from 2 species